UACGUAGGGGGCAAGCGUUGUUCGGAAUGACUGGGCGUAAAGGGUGCGUAGGCGGUGUAGCAAGUUAGAAGUGAAAUACCUAGCGCUUAACUCAGGUGCUGCUUCUAAAACUGCUAUACUUGAGUGCAGUAGAGGAAAGUGGAAUUCCUAGUGUAGCGGUGGAAUGCGUAGAUAUUAGGAGGAACAUCAGUGGCGAAGGCGACUUUCUGGACUGUAACUGACGCUGAGGCACGAAAGUGUGGGGAGCAAACAGG
rnacentral:rRNA from 1 species